AAGACUAUACUUUCAGGGAUCAUUUCUACAGUUCAUUACUAGAGAAGUUUCUCUAAAUGUGUGGAGCACCAGAAACUAUGAGGAGGAGGCACAGAGUUCUCUUCUGAGCAUGAAGCUGGCGCUUGGUGUUGCAGCUGCCAUUUACCAUUGGUGAUUGUUCUUGUCUUCCUCUUGGAGUGGAAGAGAAAGACAAUGCAGUCUGAGUGGU
ensembl:snoRNA U3 Small nucleolar RNA U3